AAAACGACUCUCGGCAACGGAU
rnacentral:rRNA from 1 species